GCGAAAACAAAAGGUCAUAGAAGGGAGUAUUUUUUAAUCAACAGCAUUGUCCUAUAUUUAGGACCCAAGGGUGACUGGGGUAUAGAAAUAUCGCGGUUAAUGGCAACCGUACUGUCAUACAUAUAAUGGUAACUGAAAGAGAGACGAAAGAUAUCAAACUCAUAAAUCGAAAAUAAACUGACAACGCCAUGGCUAAAAAUGAAAAAGACAAACAAACAAACAAUA
rnacentral:lncRNA from 1 species